AUUCAAUUUAAAUUUAUGAUUUUGAUGAAAACAUCCGAAGGCUGUUCGCAUAAGAUGCAUUCCUUUCGCACAAGACGCUCGAACGUGAACUUAAAACAAGGCGAGGGUCGAAGAUCAUGGGAGUAUUGUAAGAAGAAAACAUAAAUUGCAAUUCAAACUAAUCUCAACUCAGAGGUAAAACCUAAAUUAAAUUAUUUUAUGAAACAGAAC